GCUUGGCGCGGGAGUUGGGGGGGAGGAGGGGGCGCCGCAGCUCCUCUGGGUCUCGAACUCCUCUCUCUCGGUCCGGCUUCCAUUCUUCUCUUCCACAGAAUUCAGCUCCUCUGGCUUGGGCAAUCUGGGCCUUGGAUCAGCAGUGCGAUUCUGGCUACCCAUAGAAAUAAGGGGUCGGCACACCGGCAGUGCAAUAGAUGAGCCUUACCCUGGGAAAACCUCCUUCCUGAUCAAGGUGUCUCCUCUGCCAGAAUUUGCCAGUACCUCUCAUUCGUUUGGAUUGACAGAACUUAGCAGAAGACCAAGGGGUUCCUUCUGAUCUUUUCGGAGACUUCCUGAUAGCACAGAUGAAUGAGCAAGACUCAGCUGGCCCUGAAGCAGGAAGAGGCCAUGGCAUUGACAAUGGGAGCAGUGGGGGAUUCUGGGAAAACUCUGCAGAAGAUCCUGGGUGAGGAGGACACCCUCCGCUCAGAGGUGCAGAGCCGGCAGUUCAGGUGGUUCUGCUACCAGGACGCCAAAGGACCUCGCGAGGUUUGCAGCCAACUCUACUACUUCUGCCACCAGUGGCUGAAGCCAGAAAGGCACACGAAAGCUGAGAUGCUGGACCUGGUGAUCAUGGAGCAGUUACUGGCUGUCCUUCCAGCGGAGAUGGAGAAUGGGUGAGGGAAUGCGGAGCAGAGACCAGUUCCCAGGCAGUGGCCCUGGCCGAAGGUUUCCUCCUGAGUCAGGCAGAGGAGAGAAAGCAGGCAGAGCAGCAGGAAAAGGAUCAGUCGGCAGCAACGGGUCCUGAUCCCUCUGAGGCAGAGAGGACUUCGCUGGACACCAGAGAGAGGCCGCUGGACAAAAUCGGCUGCCUUGUCCCAGGAUUCAGCCUAAGAGCAGCUGUCCCUGCCCAGCAGAAGACAUCCAAGCCUAGACUCGACAAGGUAAGUCCUGAGUAUCAUA